rnacentral:rRNA from 1 species
AACGGAGCGAAAGCGACGUUCAACCUCAAAAGAAGCAGAGGGGGCUUAGUGGUGGGGUGACUGCGUACCUUUUGUAUAAUGGGUCAGCGACUUAUAUUCUGUAGCAAGGUUAACCGAAUAGGGGAGCCGGAGGGAAACCGAGUCUUAAUUGGGCGUUAAGUUGCAGGGUAUAGACCCGAAACCCGGUGAUCUAGCCAUGGGCAGGUUGAAGGUUGGGUAACACUAACUGGAGGACCGAACCGACUAAUGUUGAAAAAUUAGCGGAUGACCUGUGGCUGGGGGUGAAAGGCCAAUCAAACCGGGAGAUAGCUGGUUCUCCCCGAAAGCUAUUUAGGUAGCGCCUCGUGAAUUCAUCUCCGGGGGUAGAGCACUGUUUCGGCUAGGGGGCCAUCCCGGCUUACCAACCCGAUGCAAACUGCGAAUACCGGAGAAUGUUAUCACGGGAGACACACGGCGGGUGCUAACGUCCGUCGUGAAGAGGGAAACAACCCAGACCGCCAGCUAAGGUCCCAAAGUCAUGGUUAAGUGGGAAACGAUGUGGGAAGGCCCAGACAGCCAGGAUGUUGGCUUAGAAGCAGCCAUCAUUUAAAGAAAGCGUAAUAGCUCACUGGUCGAGUCGGCCUGCGCGGAAGAUGUAACGGGGCUAAACCAUGCACCGAAGCUGCGGCAGCGACGUUUAUGCGUUGUUGGGUAGGGGAGCGUUCUGUAAGCCUGCGAAGGUGGCCUGUGAGGGUUGCUGGAGGUAUCAGAAGUGCGAAUGCUGACAUAAGUAACGAUAAAGCGGGUGAAAAG